CAUCCCUAGUCUAGAAAUGCCCCAGAGUCUCUGAUGAAAUGAAUCACAAAUGAUGCUGGGAGCAGGAAACAAUUUUUUAGCCAGGACCAGCAAUAGAAUAUGUUCAUUUGUUAUGAAUGAAACCAUUUCUCAUAUUUUGCAAGUUUUAUGUCCUUAUCACAUCUACUUCAAUACAGGUGUGCUCUUAUCCAAAAAUACUUACUAUGCCUUCCUAUAGUUAGUUCAGAUUAUAAACAAUGGGGUUAUUACCUGCAGCUCUACAAUAUAAGUGGUGGGGUAGUAAAGGUGCAAGAAUAUUUUCAUUUCAGAAGAUUCUACACAAAGAAUUUUGGAGAAGGAAAGUGAUUUUAAAUAACAGAGCUAAAAGAAUAAUAUCAGAAACAGAACUUACAUCCUAGAGAUGUUGGGGAGAUUGGAAAAAGCAUCACUUGGAAUUGUUCUUAGAUGAGUCUCCAUAAACCUCCUAUAAAAAUAAAAGUUUGGCAGUUAAUAUCCUUUGAUUAAAAGCUCUAUUAAAUCCAGAAAAAAACUUCAAUCUUCCUUCCAUAAAAUCUUUCAAAAAGAAGAACCCAAAGUCUGAGGUCAUGUUCAUUGCAAACAUACUAUCAAUAUUUGCAAAGAUAUAAAAGAACGCAAUCACAUUUUCGCUAAAUGAAAUGUUUUUAAAAUGGCAAGAGAAUGUUUCAGAAAAACAUUUCUGGUCUCAUAGGGUGACAUUUAGUUUGCAUUUCUUAGUUUCAUAGGUUGGAAAGUUGGUUUGAAGCUUUUAAAACUCUCUUUCUGUUUUGAUACUUGCACCAAAGGUUUAGCCUCUAUGUUCCUGAAAGACUUUACAUUUCAUGUAUCAAGAAAAUGAAACCUGGACUACUGGUAAGAAACUUACUGGACUGCUUGUGCAGAACUUAACAUUUUUGCUUUCCCCUGCCCCAAACAUCUGUCAACCAGGAAUGUAAAAAGUUUCUUGCUCAAAAAUCAAGUACUACAGACACUCACCUAGCAACUGUGAGUUGUUACUUUAAAGACACAAGAUUGGCGGCUUAGGCCAGGCAUAAGAUGGUAAAACUAGAAUCAGCCCUGUAAACUGAGCAAGUAGCAUUAAUUGCAUUGCAAAUAAUGAUGUUAAUUGCCCUUAGUAUAUUCUGUUGUAACACAGUAAUUUUUUCUUAUUUAGACUGCACUUUAAAAAAUCUAUAAAUAGUAAUCCAUUAAAAUACACAAUUUACAGGUGGCUUAAAACAAGGCAUAAGUAAUAAUAAUAGAAAUAAAAAACAAGUUCACAAAAAUACUCCACUAAUAAACAAAGCCAUAAUUACAUCUCAGAAGCCAGGAGUUUCUCACUUCCCCUUGUGCACUUAAGUCAGAAUUAUAGCAUAGCUGAUUUUUUUUUUUCAUUGAAUACUAAAUACAAUUAGAGACAAGUACUAAGGAGUUACAGAAAAAUUCAAGUGAAACUGUUCAUAAUCCUAGUUCUCUUUCAACUGAACAUAUGCACAAGAAUAGAAUCUGGCCGGUGACUUACAGAAGUGAUAUAGAGAAUAUAAGGAAGUUAACAAAAAAAUUUGGUAGGUAUUUCAUUUCUUACAUGUCACCAUUUUCAAACACGUGAUAUUGAUGAAUAUCAGAGCUACAUAGCAACCAGGAACAGAGAAACACCAAGAGAUGUAGAGGCUAUUUCACUUGACUGUGGCUACUUCAUUUCUAUUACUGCCUUGUGUUACAGCAAAAAAGUCCAGGGGAAAAUGUAGGAUUUAUACACUCCCUUCUGUUACACGUUUUCAUCUGAUAACUAGCACUAACAGCAUCCAUAAUGUAGCCAAAAUACUAUUAGAGUGAGAACUUAUAGGUGUAAAUGUGAAAAUUUAAAGAAGAAAAAAUUCUAUUGCUCUUUGGCUUGCUUAUUAAAUCACUUGAAAGCUUUAUUUCUCAUUGCAGAUGAA